rnacentral:rRNA from 1 species
CGCUUACACAUGCAAGUCGAACGAGAAAGGGUGCAGCUUGCUGUACCCCGGUAAAGUGGCGCACGGGUGAGUAACACGUAGGUGACCUACCCCUGGGCGGGGGACAACCUUCCGAAAGGAGGGCUAAUACCGCAUAAGACCACACCGUCAGGGAAGUGGUUAAAGUGGGCCUCUUCAUGAAAGCUCACACCCGGGGAUGGGCCUGCGGCGCAUCAGGUAGUUGGUGAGGUAAAAGCUCACCAAGCCUAAGACGCGUAGCUGGUCUGAGAGGAUGAUCAGUCACACUGGAACUGAGACACGGUCCAGACUCCUACGGGAGGCAGCAGUGGGGAAUCUUGCGCACUGGGCGAAAGCCUGACGCAGCGACGCCGCGUGAGUGAUGAAGCCUUAGGGNUUGUAAAGCUCUGUGGAGA